UCGGCUAUGCGUUUUAAUUUUUGACUCUAUUUGUUGUGGUGCUAUGAGUUUUUAGUUUGUUUUUAUAUUGUUUUUUGUAAAAUAUUUUAAUUUUUUUUUAGUUUCUUAUGGUAUCAAAAAUUUGUUUUUUGAACUGGAUUAGUACCCAGGUAAUCAAAAUUUAAUAAUUCGGGAGUAAAGUUUUAUUUAAACCGAAAAAAUAUUGACUGACUUUAGAUUUUUCUUUGGAAUAUGUGAUUUGCUGGAGAGCCCUCUUUUUUGGUGAAUUUUGUUGGCACAUGUAUGAUUGUUUAGUUUUUAUUUUAUUUUGUAAUGCUUUAUUGUUUUGGCAUCAAAAACAGAUAUAUAUUUGGCUUAUGAAUUUAUGUUUCAUGUGUUACUAUUAUGAAUUUUUUUUGGAUUAGUUUUUUAUUUUUUUUUGAAAUUGGAAAAGAAAGUAAUUUUUUCUUAAUGUUUUAAUGAAUUUAAUAAAUAAGGUGGUACAAACCAUCCGUCAAUGGCCUAAAGGGGCGUAAGUUG
rnacentral:ncRNA from 1 species